rnacentral:rRNA from 1 species
UGGGGAAUCUUGGACAAUGGGGGCAACCCUGAUCCAGCCAUGCCGCGUGGAUGAUGAAGGCCCUAGGGUUGUAAAAUCCUUUCGCCAGGGAUGAUAAUGACAGUACCUGGUAAAGAAGCCCCGGCUAACAUCGUGCCAGCAGCCGCGGUAAUACGAAGGGGGCUAGCGUUGUUCGGAAUUACUGGGCGUAAAGCGCGCGUAGGCGGACUCUUAAGCCAGAUGUGAAAUCCCGGGGCUCAACCCCGGAACUGCAUUUGGAACUGGGAGUCUAGAGUUCAGGAGAGGUUCGUGGAAUGCCGAGUGUAGAGGUGAAAUUCGUAGAUAUUCGGUGGAACACCAGUGGCGAAGGCGACGAACUGGACUGAUACUGACGCUGAGGUGCGAAAGUGUGGGGAGCAAACAGGAUUAGAUACCCGUGUAGUCC